rnacentral:lncRNA from 1 species
ACUUUUGUUUGGGGCUAUCUUGCAUUGAGGCUUAUAGCUUCAAUUUUAAGAUGAGAACAAAGCAUGAUUUUUGUAAUCCAGAAGAUGUUCAAAUCAGGUUCCGCUCUAUGAUAUUGUUUUGUGUUUAUGUUCUUUGAGAUUCUAUUUUUUUUUCUCAUGGAGAACCAUUUCUCCAAUUGUUUUAUUUUAUCUUUCAAAAAACUUUAAUAUGAAAUUCAAAGGUUGCAAUAUAAUAGCAUUUGGCAGAUGCACAAAACACUUGUGAUAAAAAUAAAAUUUGAUCAAGGUUGCACUGUAAAAAUAUCACAUCAAACUCAAAAUUAAGUAUAUUUAUAUAAGGUUGCACUGUAAAAAUAUCACAUCAAACUCAAAAUUAAGUAUAUUUAUAUAAGGUUGGUCUGUGUAAAUAUCACAUUGCUUGUUUACAUGGCUGUCACCAAAGUAUAUAGCUCACAAACAGUUUAUUUACUGUAGGUUGGACAUUGAAAGUAACACAUUUUUUGUUGCAAAUAGCAUUUACAAUGACAUUAUUAUUUAAAUAUAUAUAAACAUGUACAAAUGGGUUGAAUUGGAGAGACUUACUUACUUGUUGAAUAUUUUGGUCCCUCCCUGUACCCAAUCUUUUCUACUUAUGAAAAUAAGUGUCUGGAUGCCACCACGGCUGGAUAGUGUUUAUGAAAUAGAGACUAAUUGGGGACAAAAGAAUAGAAAAAAAACAUUGAAUGAUUAAUAAAGAGUAGAUAGUAAUGGACAUAAUAAAAGGAACAGAGAAUUUUUUUUAAUAAAAUAAAAAAAAUAAGGGAAUGAAGAUCCUCAUUGAUUUAGCAGUCGUGGAAAAAGUGUAUACCUUUGAUCUUUACAGCUUUUGGUAUGUUUAGAUUUACAGUGUUCAUAGAUAUAUUUUAAGCUUCUGUUUAACAAAGAUUAUUU